CAGUCGAACGCAUCGCAAGAUGAGUGGCGCACGGGUGAGUAACGCGUGGGAACGUGCCUUUUAGUUUGGGAUAACAGUUGGAAACGACUGCUAAUACCGGAUACGCCCUUCGGGGGAAAGAUUUAUCGCUAAAAGAUCGGCCCGCGUUAGAUUAGGUAGUUGGUGGGGUAAUGGCCUACCAAGCCUACGAUCUAUAGCUGGUCUGAGAGGAUGACCAGCCACACUGGAACUGAGACACGGUCCAGACUCCUACGGGAGGCAGCAGUGGGGAAUAUUGGACAAUGGGCGCAAGCCUGAUCCAGCCAUGCCGCGUGAGUGAUGAAGGCCUUAGGGUUGUAAAGCUCUUUUGUCAGGGAAGAUAAUGACGGUACCUGAAGAAUAAGCACCGGCUAACUUCGUGCCAGCAGCCGCGGUAAUACGAAGGGUGCUAGCGUUGUUCGGAAUUACUGGGCGUAAAGCGCGCGUAGGCGGCUAUUCAAGUCAGGGGUGAAAUCCUUGGGCUCAACCCAAGAAUUGCCCUUGAAACUGUGUAGCUAGAGUGUCGGAGGGGAUAGCGGAAUUCCUAAUGUAGAGGUGAAAUUCGUAGAUAUUAGGAGGAACACCGGUGGCGAAGGCGGCUAUCUGGACGACAACUGACGCUGAGGCGCGAAAGCACGGGGAUCAAACAGGAUUAGAUACCCUGGUAGUCCGUGCUGUAAACGAUGGAUGCUAGCCGUUCGGGGGUUACCCCUGAGUGGCGCAGCUAACGCGUUAAGCAUCCCGCCUGGGGAGUACGGUCGCAAGAUUAAAACUCAAAGAAAUUGACGGGGACCCGC
rnacentral:rRNA from 1 species